rnacentral:rRNA from 1 species
CCCUUAGAUGUUCUGGGCCGCACGCGCGCUACACUGACUACUUCAACGAGUUGUUUCCUUGAUCGAAAGGUCUGGGUAAUCUUUGAAAGGUAGUCGUGAUGGGGAUAGAUCCUUGCAAUUUUUGAUCUUCAACGAGGAAUUCCUAGUAAACGCAAGUCAUCAGCUUGCAUUGAUUACGUCCCUGCCCUUUGUACACACCGCCCGUCGCACCUACCGAUUGAAUGGUCCGGUGAAUCUUUAGGACUGUGGCUGAGGCCUUGCCUUGUGCGGGUCUGGCCGUGGGAAUUUAGUUAAACCUUACCAUUUAGAGGAAGGUGAAGUCGUAACG